rnacentral:rRNA from 1 species
GGGGAAUAUUGCACAAUGGGCGCAAGCCUGAUGCAGCAACGCCGCGUGAGGGACGACGGCCUUCGGGUUGUAAACCUCUUUUGGCAGGGAAGAAGCGAAAGUGACGGUACCUGCAGAAAAAGCACCGGCUAACUACGUGCCAGCAGCCGCGGUGAUACGUAGGGUGCAAGCGUUGUCCGGAAUUAUUGGGCGUAAAGAGCUCGUAGGCGGUUUGUCGCGUCUGCUGUGAAAACCCGAGGCUCAACCUCGGGCCUGCAGUGGGUACGGGCAAACUAGAGUGCGGUAGGGGAGAUUGGAAUUCCAGAUGUAGUGGUGAAAUACGUAGAUAUCUGGAAGAACACCAGUUGCGAAGGCGGUCUCUUGGUCCGACACUGACGCUGAGGCGCGAAAGCGUGGGGAGCAAACA